CACCUCAGCCUGUGAGUGCUGAGGACCAGCUCCUCUGGCUGGUUUUCCAGUUGGACUGGCCAUUGCUCUCCAGAAGUGCUCUGUUAGCAAACGUGAUGUGGAAACGAUCACAGAUGGUGUUUUCUCGUUGUUCGCCAGAAUUUAUACGGGGGAGACAAAUCGUUCCAGGGUCACCCCCAAGAGGACAACAGGCAUCUGGAAGUGCUCUCUCGCCACUCUGGGUGCUUACUGUCUCUGGCUUGUUUCCAUCACUGGAAAUCACUUAGAGAAUUGUAGUGUUUUUGGUCCUUGAUAAAGCCUAGAAGACAUUUGUGAUGUUACAAAAUGGAAGUUUUCUUUUGUUUCUGUUUUUUAAGAUCUAAGAAGUUGUGAAUGUUGUUAAUCAUUUAGCCGUUGCAAUAAAUGUAGAGGAAAUGCA
rnacentral:sRNA from 1 species